GAUGAACGCUGGCGGCGUGCCUAACACAUGCAAGUCGAACGAAGCGCCUUACCGGAUUCUUCGGAUGACGGUCUGGUGACUGAGUGGCGGACGGGUGAGUAACGCGUGGGUAACCUGCCCUGUACAGGGGGAUAACAGCUGGAAACGGCUGCUAAUACCGCAUAAGCGCACGAGGAGACAUCUCCUUGUGUGAAAAACUCCGGUGGUACAGGAUGGGCCCGCGUCUGAUUAGCUGGUUGGCAGGGUAACGGCCUACCAAGGCAACGAUCAGUAGCCGGUCUGAGAGGAUGAACGGCCACAUUGGAACUGAGACACGGUCCAAACUCCUACGGGAGGCAGCAGUGGGGAAUAUUGCACAAUGGGGGAAACCCUGAUGCAGCAACGCCGCGUGAGUGAAGAAGUAUUUCGGUAUGUAAAGCUCUAUCAGCAGGGAAGAUAAUGACGGUACCUGACUAAGAAGCUCCGGCUAAAUACGUG
rnacentral:rRNA from 1 species